ACACACACACACACACACUUCUUUUGGCUUCACCUCAGCUAGGGUGGACAGAGUGCAUCAACAAACAAUGGGCUCAGAGAGGAGUUGGUGUUAUGAGGUCUAGAAAGUCCAGUGGUGGCUGGAAUGGUGCUCUGCUGUCCAUCAGACAGCCACAGGCGCUCACUUAAGUUUAAGUCUGACACCCCUGACAGUGGGCAGAGAGCCACCUUGUAGGCGAUGUUCUUCUGUCAGUCGGGGACAGAGCAGACGGCAGUCCUUUGCUCAUGCUAGCUUGAUGCCUGGCUUGGUGGCCAAAGCUGUCUCAUACCCAGGACUCAUAAAAAUCAAAUCAAAGGCAGCACAGAGCUGGAGGAGGAAGUGAGACAGAGACCUGCAGACCGCAAGGCACAGGAGAGCCUUAGACACCUGCAUGCUGCCGUGCUACACAGCACAGAUGGAGGAGAUCACCCAGGGGCCUCCCUGUGCUUGGUCAGCCUGCAGUGGGAGCCACCACAAUGUCUACAGGAUCUCCAUGACACAGGACAGCAGGAUAACGAAGAGGAGUCCUGAUAAGGAUCCAAUAUUGAUGGUGUCACAGAAGCCAGAGAUCUCGAACCAGACCAAUGACUCGGCAAUGAACAUCUGCAAGUGAAGAUGUGUGAACAGAGGGUUCUGCUGUGGGACACACUGUGACACACUCCAGCUUCCAUGAUGACAUGUUUUCUAGGCUUUGUUUUUGGUUGGUCUUUUCAUUUGUUUUGGUGUGUGUGUUUUAUUUGAGGGGGCAUUGCAAAGGUGAAGGGUGAAUAUGAAGGGAUGGGGAGAUGAUCGGGACUGGGGUGCAUGAUGUGAUACGCACAAAGAAUCAAUAAAAAUGUUUAAAGAAUUAA